UACGUAGGGACCGAGCGUUGUCCGGAAUCAUUGGGCGUAAAGAGCUUGUAGGCGGUUUGUCGCGUCUGCUGUGAAAUCUCAAGGCUCAACCUUGAGCUUGCAGUGGGUACGGGCAGACUAGAGUGUGGUAGGGGAGACUGGAAUUCCUGGUGUAGCGGUGAAAUGCGCAGAUAUCAGGAAGAACACCCGUGGCGAAAGCGGCUCUCUGGAACGGUACUGACGCUGAGACGCGAAAGCGUGGGGAGCGAACAGG
rnacentral:rRNA from 1 species